AACGAGCCGACAAAUAUCGACAAAAUAUCUUAAAGCGUUCCGCCGACACAGUGAAUGUGUGUAUUAUUAUUAUUUCGUUUUUGUCACGAGAUCUCUCAUGAGAUACUCUCGAGAUUUAUUUUUCAUUGGUCGUUGUCUAAUUAACGAUCUGUAUCUAAUUACAAACAAUAAGCUCGUACGACCUUCUUGGCUUUUUUAGUUACCGCUUUUGUAAAUGAUAUUCCACAGAAACGGAAAUUACUUUUUUUUUCCUUAUAAAACUAUAAAGUUUUUAAUAUUAAUAUCGAAU